GUCUUUCCUGAUACUUUGUUUCGUUGAUAGGCUUCACGGCGUUUUUUGAGUUUCUCAUGCCUUUCUUCAUCGGUCAUGCGUUCAUACCGCUCUCUGUCCCUCUUUCUUCUUUUUUCCUUAGCAUCCAUUAUUUGUGAUUAUGGUCCAAAUGUUUUCCUGCAGGAUGGAAAGAAUUUUUUUUAAUGCAAUACAAGAUAAUUUGUUGCUAGACUGGCCUGGAAUGUGAAGUCAAUAUGUAUCGGAUGAGCAUCCUGGCAUGUGAGAUGCAUGAAACAUGGUAUUCUUUUACUGGACAUCAAACAUAGGACUGAUGAGUAUCAAAUACCAUGUGUGAGAUUCAAGAAUUCAUUGGGAAGAACGAAAACUGGAGACAAGGAACAUACUUGACGGCUCCUUUGUUUUGGUUGGCGCUGUAGCUUGGAGAUUGCUUGGCGUGUACUAAGCUGGUGGCACUUUUUUCUCUGGGCGUUCAAUCUCUGAGAGCUGGGUAUUUAUAUUAGUAUAGAACCUUUGCCAGUCCGAGUUGGUGUAUGGUUCCCGAUUGGUUCCAUGUCCGAGUCCAAGUUGGUGUAUGUUUUCCAUGUCCGAGUCCAAGUUGGUGUAUGCUUCUGAUUGUAUUUUUCUCUUCCACGUCCAAUCCAGUAGGUUGUGGUAUGUUUUGAGAUUUGUUAUAAAUUUACCUUUUUCUGUC